CUGUCCUCUGGGCAGAUGGCAGGGUUGUGUCUUCCUGUGGAGUUCCUUCCUUUCGCCUCAGUGACCACGGAGACGCAUGUCGAGGUGUGACCUCGCCUGGGCCUCUGCAUGAGGGUGGGGAGCAGAGUCCUCCUUAGUGGGAGUGGAGCGUGCACAGGACGUAAUUACGUGGGGCCAUUUGUUACGCAGCCUAACACAGCCUGUCCUGGCUGAUGCAGAUGGCCAUUGCAGCAGUCAUCUGCAGGUCCUCAGCUUAGUCUCACCCUCACUGGAGAUCUUAGCCUUGGCCUCACAGGUGCUCCAGACCUUUUCCUGGCAGAAUUUUGGUGACUUCAGAAAUAUGAUGACUGCUGAACCCACUUCUCCCAGCAUUUCUAUUUGUGGUUGCCUGGUGUAUUUAAAGUCUGUGUUGAUGGGUGCAUAUAUUUUUAACGUUUCCCUAUUGUGAAAUUUAAUAAAUUUACAGCAAAAUGUAUAAAAUACGAAAGUAAAAAACU
rnacentral:lncRNA from 10 species